rnacentral:misc_RNA from 1 species
AUCUCAUUUCUUAUCUUUGUUCAACGUAGGCACUGAUAUUCUCUUUAUCGGCCAACAUGGGGAAGAAGAAAUCUAGGGUUUCUGGCGAAGGAGAAGUAGAAGAAGAAGAACAGAAGGAGAAUCUGAAUCAAUCUCCCACAAGAGUAAAGAGUCUUUACGAGGUUCUUGGGGUUGAGCGGACAGCAUCUCAACUGGAAAUAAAGAAAGCAUACUAUAAGUUGGCCUUGCGGCUACACCCUGACAAAAAUCCUGGUGAUGAGGAAGCUAAAGAAAAAUUUCAGCAAUUGCAAAAGGUGAUAUCAAUUCUUGGUGAUGAGGAAAAACGGGCCGUCUAUGAUCAGACUGGUUGUGUUGAUGAUGCUGAUCUUGCAGGGGAUGUUCUUGAGAAUUUGAGGGAUUUUUUCAGAGCCCUGUAUAAAAAGGUCACUGAAGCUGAUAUUGAAGAAUUUGAAGCAAAUUACAGGGGAUCUGAUUCAGAGAAAAAGGAUUUGAUUGAACUCUAUAAAAGGUGCAAGGGUAAUAUGAACAGGCUCUUCUGUUCGAUGCUUUGUUCUGAUCCUAAACUUGAUUCACACCGAUUCAAGGAUAUUCUGGAUGAGGCAAUUUCUGCCGGGGAACUGGAGGCAACCAAAGCAUACCAGAAAUGGGCAAAGCAAGUGUCCGAAACAAAACCACCUACUAGUCCUUUAAAAAGGAAGGGGAAAUCAAAUGAACAAUCAGAAGCAGAUCUACUUGCUAUUAUAUCUCAGCGCCGAAAUGAGAGAAAAGAUCGGUUUGAUUCCAUGUCCUCAUCUCUUGUGUCCAAAUAUGGUGGUAAUGCAGCUCCUGAACCUACAGAAGAAGAAUUUGAAGCUGCACAGAAGAAAAUUGAAGGCUCUAAGGCCUCCAGAAAAUUAAGGCGAAAGUAACUUUACAUUGUGAGAGAACAUGGCUCGAGGACCAAUUUUUUUAUACAAACCUUAUUUCUGUAUGCAGUAGGUGCAAAUAUGUUUAUCUAGCAAAUUUAAAUGCGACUGCUAAUUGUCCACACAAUUA